rnacentral:tRNA from 1 species
GUUGCACAAAUGGUUUGUAAUAGGCUACUAACUUAAAAUUGGUGGUUCAAAUCCACCCAGCAACA